GGCCCCCCUACCUCUGAGGAAGCACAGUUCCCGCUCAGCCCAGUCAAAACUGUUCGCUGCUCUGGCACCCCAAUGGUGGAACAAGCUCCCUCACGACGCCAGGACAGCGGAGUCAGUCACCACCUUCCGGAGACACCUGAAACCCCACCUCUUUAAGGAAUACCUAGGAUAGGAUAAACCAGCCAGCCAGGUAGAAAAAUGGCAGAAAAAUAAAAGAUGGACAUCAGAGUAUUUUUCAGUACACCAAAACGCAAAGUAAGAACCCUAGUAGCCUAAUAUCUCAAAGACUAGUUGAUAAAAUGUUCAUAAGAAAGAAAUGAAAUUCUAAUGGAAAUGUUUCACAAUGAUGUCAUUAGGCAGAGCAGGCAACAGAUGGCACACAAACAGCAGAGUUGGGGACAGAUAUGCAGGGACAGACUGGCAGAGACAGGGAGUCUCAGGGAAAAUAAUAAACACACCCAGGACAACACUUUCCCAUUGUAAGUUGAGGAUCCGAGUGCAGGUGGAAUGAUGACUUUCUGUAGGAACAAAGACUGAAAGGAAACGGAUAAUUAUUUAGUAGCUUUAAUGGUCAAACCACAUUGAACACCAUCAGCCACCACACUAGAACUGUCUGUCACUUCCUGUCACUUCCGGUAUCAAUAAAGCUUAACCCCACACAAUUAAAGCAUUGGCCAAUAGGAAAACAGAUAAUUAGUUACCAGGCAAAGAAAUAGAUAACACAGUUAUUUCCUGUAACACAGAUUUACUAUAUUUCAGCAAUGUGUAUAACUGCCAUAUAAAUUAAAUAAUUACUCAGGAAAUAAUC
rnacentral:lncRNA from 1 species